AUCUUCCAUAGAUCCGUCACUCUCAUCCACUCGUCGCCAAAAAAGAUCUCGCCAGCGCAUCUCCACUCCUGCCAUCAUCCCCGUCGUCGUCUUCCUCGCUCGCGGUGCCACUGCCACCGGCCAGUCGCCAACCCGCACGCCUCGCCAUUUUUGUCAUCCCGCCGCGGAUAAGGAAUGGCGAGGCAGCAAGCAACCGGCCAAAGACUAAACUAAUCUGGCAAGUAAGAGGAAGCAAAGAUCGAUUGCUUUCCUUUCUUCCUUUCCGUGGAAAAGGACCGGCGCUCGCGGCGACCAGGAAGGCAAGGAACGCGUCCGGUUCUUGGAUAAGCGGAGGCGCGGCACCGCACGCGGCAUUCGCCUAUAUAACAAGGCCGCCGGGGGUGGGAGGCGGAGGGACAACUCCGUCUACACACGCGCGCACCCUCCAAAGUCUUCUGCCGAUUUCUUCGUCUCCGCUCUCUUCGUGUUCGGGUUGUUGGCUGAGCGACAGUUGGGAUUCUGCAGAGGAGGUUGAAAGUACUUGAAACAAAUGGGGAUUGGGGAUGCAUCACCUAGUGAAAACCAGUCUGCACACAAGGAAAAGAGGGAUGAGACCACGCCACUUCUCCCGGUCAAGGCGGAAGAGGAAGAUGGGAUCCAUGAGUUCAAUGGAGCCUCUUUCUCGGGUGCAGUUUUCAAUCUGUCGACAACCAUCGUGGGGGCUGGAAUUAUGGCCCUGCCAGCAAGUAUCAAGAUGCUAGGCAUUAUCCCGGGUAUUUUGAUGAUCAUCCUUGUGGCAUUGCUCACUGAGGCAUCAAUUGACAUGAUGGUCAGGUGCAGCCACCAGGCCAAGAUUACAUCCUAUGGCUGGCUGAUGGGUGACUCUUUUGGUCAAUGGGGGAGGAUUGCGCUGCAAGCAUCUGUGGUCAUAAACAACAUUGGCGUCAUGAUUGUAUACAUGAUUAUCAUCGGUGAUGUGCUAUCGGGAACAUCUACAACUGGUGUUCAUCACCGGGGUAUCUUUGAGGGGUGGUUUGGUCCUCAUUUUUGGAAUUCUCGUCCAGUUGUUCUCCUUGCCACAACUAUUUUUGUGUUUGCCCCAUUGGUGAGCUUUAAGCGAUUGGAUUCAUUGAGAUACACAUCUGCUCUGUCAGUUGCCCUUGCUGUGGUUUUUGUUGUCAUCACUGCUGGAAUUGCUAUUCUCAGACUGAUAGAAGGGACCGCGGAGAUUCCCAAACUCUUCCCUGAGAUACAUGAAAUCAAUUCCAUCUGGGAACUCUUUACAGCUGUGCCGGUUCUUGUCACUGCCUACAUUUGCCACUACAAUGUUCACAGCAUCGAUAAUGAGCUGGAAGAUAGAAGUCAGACUAAGCCAAUUGUGCGAACUUCACUCGCUCUCUGUUCAAGUGUUUAUGUUGCGACAAGCUUCUUUGCAUAUCUCCUCUUUGGCGAGGGUACCCUCUCUGAUGUGCUCGCCAAUUUUGACUCCGACCUUCAUAUUCCAUUCAGCUCUGUCUUCAAUGAUAUAGUCAGAGUGAGCUAUGUAGUCCAUGUCAUGCUCGUUUUCCCUAUAGUCUUCUUUGCCCUUAGGCUCAACCUGGAUGGACUCCUCUUCCCCACCUCAAGGCACAUUUCUCAUGACAACCGAAGGUUUACCAUUAUCACCGUCUCACUCCUUGUUGUGAUUUAUCUUGCUGCCAACUUCAUACCAAGCAUCUGGGAUGCGUUCCAGUUCACUGGUGCUACAGCUGCUGUCCUGAUUGGUUUCAUCUUUCCUGCCAUGAUCAUACUCAGGGAUUCUUAUGGGAUCGCAACCAAGCGCGACAAGGUUUUAGCUGUAACCAUGAUUGUGCUUGCUGUGCUCUCCAAUUCAGUGGCCCUGUACAGCGAUGCGAUGAGCAUCUUCUACAGGAAGGUGGAGGCCUAGUCUGCUCCAUGCCUCCUUACUCCAAGGGAAUAAGUCCAAUGCACAUGCAUAAUUCGGAGUGAUUAUUGAGCUUUAGUUAGUACUCCCUCCGUUCCAAAAUAGAUGACCCAACUUUGUACUAAAGUUAGUAUAAAGUUGGGUCAUCUAUUUUGGAACAGAGGGAGUAUAUUGCACAGUCAAACAAUGUGAUUUCAUGGUGGCCACUAAUUUUUGUUUUGGACACUUGAGAGGAUUUUGUUUGCUGCAUUUGUCUAGUUUCUUGAACAUGUAAUCCGGCUCAGCAUCUAGAUGAGCAAUUUGUGAUCUGGUCGCAGGUGUUUGUAUUUAUUGGCAAGAACAAGAUUUUUAUUUACCUUUUGGGGUUAUGUGCAUGUUCAUAUUCGAUCAUCUUGAA
rnacentral:rRNA from 1 species